rnacentral:lncRNA from 1 species
UAAAUGGCCAAUACAUUUAUUAGUAUCAAUCCUAGCAAAUGUUCUUUUGGAAAAGAAAUAAAAAUUUUAGUUGAAGUAUUUUCAAGGUAUGAGUUCAUAAUGUUCGAGCAAGUUAUCUGCAAUUAAGUAUGACUUCACAUAAAUCUAUGUAGUAUGUCUAUAUGUAAGCACAGGUACAAUUCUGCAAAAUACUAGGGAGCAGGAAUUGUAGUUCAGCCCCAAAGCCCUGGUUUAUGUUC